GACGAACCGUGCAAACGUUGUUCGGAAUCACUGGGCUUAAAGGGCGCGUAGGCGGGCCAGCCAGUCUGUGGUGAAAGCCUCCAGCUUAACUGGAGAAGUGCCGUGGAUACUGCUGGCCUCGAGGAGGGUAGGGGCAUCUGGAACGGUCGGUGGAGCGGUGAAAUGCGUAGAUAUCGAGAGGAACACCUGCGGCGAAGGCGGGUUGCUGGGCUGAUGACUGACGCUGAGGCGCGAAAGCCAGGGGAGCGAACGGG
rnacentral:rRNA from 1 species